rnacentral:ncRNA from 1 species
UCAAGGCCUGACGGGUGCUGGCUGCUAAGUGCGGCUGUGCUGAGAACAGACCGUUGAACCUGAUCAGGGUAAUACCUGCGCAGGGACCUAGGCCUCCGCUUCGAC